UCAGCCGUACAGUUGAGAUUACAUGGUUUAAAAGAACGACCACAAGGUGGUGGAAUGGUUCGUUGGCUGGAAAAACAGGCCAUCAUACAACAUGGAGCGUCCCGGUGGUCUGCCCUCACAAGUCAGUACAAGUUAAACCUCCACGCUUUGCUCUCCAAUUAUAAUGGAACAUCUAGUAAUUUGAAAUAAUUUCUAGUAGUUUGAUACUCUGUCCUUUUUCUGUCAGCAGGAGCCAGUGUCCAUGUGAGUGAUGCUACUUUAGCUGUUGGUAGCCAAGUCCUUGUAUUUUUAAUGUCACACUUUAAGAAAGUAUAUUCAGUCCAUGAAAAUGAUCUCUACGGUGGUUCUUACAGUAUCUGUUCUGCCUAACAGGUUCCAAUCAAAUUCUAAAGUCACGUUGCCGAUUGAUAAUAUUUUUGUAGUGUGUAAAAUAUUCUGAUAUGCCUUUUACUUUAUUCACUAAGUGAAUAUAAUUUAGUCAAAUAAACUGCCUUUCAAUUGUAAUUUAUUGAAUUUCUAUAUGUAUAAAUGACCUUAUAUUUACACACAGGACAGAGCAGCUGACUGAUGGAUUGGGGUCACAUGUUAUUUUACUUACUGGAGGAUCAGGACCUUUCAGAUCUCAUCAACCCUCUGAUCUGAUGGAGCGGCUGCUGGAACACACUGACCCUCUACAACAGGGGUCCUCAAAUCCAGACAUCGAUUUCGGUGUCCUGCAUCAUUUACAUAUGUUCCUAGUCCAAGCCACCUGAAUCAAAUGGCUGCUUGAGGUCCUGAGAAUGACCUCAGGAUUUGAGUCGGAUGUGUUAAAGCAGACCUGCUUCCAGAUUGUGUGUCAUCACUGUUACAGCAGUCCUGACACCCGGGACCUGUAACACAGAGACAUCUAAACAUUGGAGAACACCGAACCCUCCUGAACUGGAGGUUCAGCUGUUGGAUUCAAGUGUGUUGGAUCAGGGAAACGACUAAGAGUUGCAGGACACCUGACCUCCAGGACCAUUGCUGCCCAUCCCUGCCCUAGAAGCUAAUGAAGAGAAAUACUAAAUUUAAACAAAAAAAUAG